rnacentral:rRNA from 1 species
UGGUACGAGCUCGAUCACUAUACGGCCGCCAUGUGCUGGAAUCGCCCUUAAGUUUGAUCCUGGCUCAGGACGAACGCUGGCGNGCGCCUUAUGCAUGCAAGUCGAGCGAAGCUUUUCAGUAGUUUACUACAGAAAAUGACUGAGCGGCGAACGGGUGAGUAACGCGUGAGCAAUCUACCUUAGUUACAGGGAUAGCCCGAGGAAACUCGGAUUAAUACCUGAUAUUCUUUAUAUUUCGCAUGAAAUUAAAAGGAAAGGUCAGCCGAACUAAGAUGAGCUCGCGUUCUAUCAGCUAGUUGGUGAGGUAAAAGCUCACCAAGGCUACGACGGAUAGCUGGUCUGAGAGGACGAUCAGCCACACUGGGACUGAGACACGGCCCAGACUCCUACGGGAGGCUGCAGCAGGGAAUAUUGCGCAAUGAGCGAAAGCUUGACGCAGCGACACCGCGUGUGGGAUGACGGAUCUAGGUUUGUAAACCACUUUCAGGAGGGAAGAAAAUGACGGUACCUCCACAAGAAGCCCCGGC